rnacentral:lncRNA from 1 species
GGUGGAGUUGCUCUUAAGGCAUUGGAGGAGUGAAAUGGUAAGGGUUUGAAUUCUCUUUGAGUGUGUGCUUUGUGUUUUUUUUCUUCUUUUUUUUCCAUUACAUUGAUUUUUUGAUAUUUUCAAUAUUAUAAUGAUAUUAUAACGAUAUUUUGACAAUAUUACUGAAGUGUGAGCGAAAUUAUUGACAUCGAUAUUUUUCGAUAUUAUCAAUUUAAUACGAUAUAUGUAUGAAUACAUUCCACAAUAUCCG